AUCGAACGCUGGCGGCGGGCCUAACACAUGCAAGUCGAACGAGUGGCGGACGGGUGAGUAAUGUCUGGGAAACUGCCUGAUGGCGGGGGAUAAGUGCUAGCAACGGUAGCUGAUACCGCAUAACAUCGUAUGUGCCCAGAUGGGAUUAGCUAGUAGGUGGGGUAACGCCUCACCGAGGCGACGAUCCCUAGCUGGUCUGAGAGGAUGACCAGCCACACUGGAACUGAGACACGGUCAAGACUCCUACGGGAGGCAGCAGUGGGGAAUAUUGGACAAUGGGCGAAAGCCUGAUGCAGACAUGCCGCGGGUAUGAAGAAGGCCUUCGGGUUGUAAAGUACGUUCAGCGGGGAGGCGGUACCCGCAGAAGAAGCACCGGCUAACUCCGUGCCAGCAGCCGCGGUAAUUC
rnacentral:rRNA from 1 species